ACGCUGGCGGCAGGCCUAACACAUGCAAGUCGAGCGGUAGAGAGAAGCUUGCUUCUCUUGAGAGCGGCGGACGGGUGAGUAAUGCCUAGGAAUCUGCCUGGUAGUGGGGGAUAACGUCCGGAAACGGACGCUAAUACCGCAUACGUCCUACGGGAGAAAGCAGGGGACCUUCGGGCCUUGCGCUAUCAGAUGAGCCUAGGUCGGAUUAGCUAGUUGGUGGGGUAAUGGCUCACCAAGGCGACGAUCCGUAACUGGUCUGAGAGGAUGAUCAGUCACACUGGAACUGAGACACGGUCCAGACUCCUACGGGAGGCAGCAGUGGGGAAUAUUGGACAAUGGGCGAAAGCCUGAUCCAGCCAUGCCGCGUGUGUGAAGAAGGUCUUCGGAUUGUAAAGCACUUUAAGUUGGGAGGAAGGGCAGUAAAUUAAUACUUUGCUGUUUUGACGUUACCGACAGAAUAAGCACCGGCUAACUCUGUGCCAGCAGCCGCGGUAAUACAGAGGGUGCAAGCGUUAAUCGGAAUUACUGGGCGUAAAGCGCGCGUAGGUGGUUCGUUAAGUUGGGAUGUGAAAUCCCCGGGCUCAACCUGGGAACUGCAUUCAAAACUGACGAGCUAGAGUAUGGUAGAGGGUGGUGGAAUUUCCUGUGUAGCGGUGAAAUGCGUAGAUAUAGGAAGGAACACCAGUGGCGAAGGCGACCACCUGGACUGAUACUGACACUGAGGUGCGAAAGCGUGGGGAGCAAAC
rnacentral:rRNA from 1 species